rnacentral:rRNA from 1 species
AGGGUUUGAUCAUGGCUCAGGAUGAACGCUGGCGGCGUGCCUAAUACAUGCAAGUCGAACGCACGACAUUGGAAGCUUGCUUCUAAUGAAGUGAGUGGCGAACGGGUGAGUAAUACAUAAAUAAUCUGCCCUAAUGACUGGGAUAACUUCUGGAAACGGAAGCUAAUACUGGAUGUAAUAUGAUUUGGUAGCAAUUGAUAUGAAAAGGAUGGGCAAUACGACCAUCGCAUUAGGAUGAGUUUAUGGUGCAUUAGCUAGUUGGUGGGGUAAGGGCCUACCAAGGCGAUGAUGCAUAGCCGACCUGAGAGGGUGACCGGCCACACUGGGACUGAGACACGGCCCAGACUCCUACGGGAGGCAGCAGUAGGGAAUUUUCGGCAAUGGAGGGAACUCUGACCGAGCGACGCCGCGUGAGUGAAGACGGCCUUCGGGUUGUAAAGCUCUGUUAUCAGGGAAGAAUGCUCAUGACAGGAAAUGGUCAUGGGGUGACGGUACCUGAUCAGAAAGUCACGGCUAACUACGUGCCAGCAGCCGCGGUAAUAC